GACGAACGCUGGCGGCGCGCCUAACACAUGCAAGUCGAACGGAGAUUACAGGCGGAAGUUUUCGGAUGGAAGCUUGUAAACUUAGUGGCGGACGGGUGAGUAACACGUGAGCAACCUGCCUAUCAGAGGGGGAUAACGAUUGGAAACGAUCGCUAAUACCGCAUGACAUAGCGGAAUCGCAUGGUUCUGUUAUCAAAGAUUUUAUCGCUGAUAGAUGGGCUCGCGUCCGAUUAGAUAGUUGGUGGGGUAACGGCCUACCAAGUCGACGAUCGGUAGCCGGACUGAGAGGUCGAACGGCCACAUUGGGACUGAGACACGGCCCAGACUCCUACGGGAGGCAGCAGUGGGGGAUAUUGCACAAUGGGGGAGACCCUGAUGCAGCGACGCCGCGUGAGGGAAGACGGUCCUCUGGAUUGUAAACCUCUGUCUUCGGGGACGAAACGAGACGGUACCCGAGGAGGAAGCCACGGCUAACUACGUGCCAGCAGCCGCCGCUG
rnacentral:rRNA from 1 species